GUCUAUGGCCAUACCAUCCUGAAUGCUCCCAAUCUCAUCUGAUCUUGGAAACUAAGCAGGGUCAGGCCUGGUUAGUACUUGGAUGGGAGAAAGAAAGAAAGGAAGGAAGGAAGUUAUAGCUA
rnacentral:rRNA from 1 species